GACGAACGCUGGCGGCGUGCCUAACACAUGCAAGUCGAGCGAAUGAAGUUCCUUCGGGAAUGGAUUUAGCGGCGGACGGGUGAGUAACACGUGGGCAACCUGCCUCAUAGAGGGGAAUAGCCGUCCGAAAGGGAGCUUAAUACCGCAUAAGAUUGUAGUACCGCAUGGGACAGUAAUUAAAGGAGCAAUCCGCUAUGAGAUGGGCCCGCGGCGCAAUAGCUAGUUGGUGAGGUAACGGCUCACCAAGGCGACGAUGCGUAGACGACCUGGGAGGGUGAUCGGCCACAUUGGGACUGAGACACGGCCCAGACUCCUACUGGAGGCAGCAGUGGUGAAUAUUGCACAAUGGGGGAAACCCUGAUGCAGCAACGCCGCUUGAGUGAUGACGGCCUUCGGGUUGUAAAGCUCUGUCUUCAGGGACGAUAAUGACGGUACCUGAGGAGGAAGCCACGGCUAACUACGUGCCAGCCGCCGCCGUAAUAC
rnacentral:rRNA from 1 species